GGCGCUGGUGGCUCUUUGGUAGAGCGAGCACACCAUCUGCAGAGGCUGUGGUCCUCAAUGCGGUUGUCCUGGGUUCAAUUCUCAGUCCCAGGCCA